GAGGAAUAUUGGUCAAUGGACGCAAGUCUGAACCAGCCACGUCGCGUGAAGGAAGACGGCCCUACGGGUUGUAAACUUCUAUUAUACGGGAAUAAAGUGCCCCACGCGUGGGGUUUUGCAUGUACCGUAUGAAUAAGGAGCGGCUAACCCAGUGCCAGCAGCCGCGGUAAUAGGGAGGAUCCGAGCUUCAUCGGUAUUUAUUGGGUUUAAAGGGUGCUCAGGCGGGGGGUUACGUCGGCGGUGAAAUUUUGCAGCUCAACUGUAAAAGUGCCUUCGAAACUGGUUCCCUUGAGUGCGGAUGAGGUAGGCGGAAUUUGUGGUGUAGCGGUGAAAUGCAUAGAUAUCACGAGGAACUCCGAUUGCGCAGGCAGCUUACCAAGCCGUAACUGACGCUCAAGCACGAAGGCGUGGGGAUCAAACA
rnacentral:rRNA from 1 species